rnacentral:tRNA from 1 species
GGCCCGAUGGCGAAGUAGAAACGCGGGAGUCUGCAAAACUCUUAUGCGCGGGUGCAAUUCCCGCUCGGGCCUCUA